UUUGGUCCUCGGUAGUGGUUUCCGGAAUCGGAUAUUCCGUGAACUUCGAUCGAAGAUCCAU
ncrna:unclassified sequences Actino-pnp RNA